GCAUCGAUGGACAACCUCGGAUUGACUCAAAACAUAUACCAUCUUACUCGGUUCGAGAAAUCGAGGUGAAUGGAUUAAAAAUAUGGCUUCGGAGGCUAUCGGAACAGCCACUGCAUGCUGCUACUUGCUAACGAGGAGAGUGGGCUUGGCUAAGGUUAUUGUUCAUCUUCUCCAGAAAUUCUGCAAAUUUUUCCUUUUUUUUUUUUCCAUUCUAAAAC
rnacentral:lncRNA from 1 species